UAGGGAAUCUUCCACAAUGGGCGAAAGCCUGAUGGAGCAACGCCGCGUGAGUGAAGAAGGAUUUCGGUUCGUAAAACUCUGUUGUAAGGGAAGAACAAGUAGCGUAGUAACUGGCGCUACCUUGACGGUACCUUAUUAGAAAGCCACGGCUAACUACGUGCCAGCAGCCGCGGUAAUACGUAGGUGGCAAGCGUUGUCCGGAAUUAUUGGGCGUAAAGCGCGCGCAGGUGGUCCUUUAAGUCUGAUGUGAAAGCCCACGGCUCAACCGUGGAGGGUCAUUGGAAACUGGAGGACUUGAGUGCAGAAGAGGAAAGUGGAAUUCCAAGUGUAGCGGUGAAAUGCGUAGAGAUUUGGAGGAACACCAGUGGCGAAGGCGACUUUCUGGUCUGUAACUGACGCUGAGGCGCGAAAGCGUGGGGAGCAAACA
rnacentral:rRNA from 1 species